CAGCAGCACAUCACAACCCAAACAAUGACAUCAAAUCCAAGACAUAACACUGUAAUCACAGAAGUGGUAUGUAACAGAAAGAAAAGAAAAGAAAAGAAAAAGGUGGUUCAACAUAAGUAAUGUCUUCUUUCAAAAAAAGAAAUGAAAACAAGACAGACUGCGUUAACAUGUCCCCAGUCAAAAGAUAUGCUGAGAUCUAACAGAUGAAAGAAGAACCAGAGAAACUCCAUUUUGAAGUAAAGGUUGCUUAUUGAUUCUAUGGAUAAGAGAGGAAUUUUUAAAAACUAUUAUGUCUUCACUCAGAGGAAAACUCAGCAUGAGGCCCUCACCAGAUACAGCCACC
rnacentral:lncRNA from 10 species